AAUAGCAGUAGAACACAUCACACUAGCACUAACAUACGAAUGUGUGGAGCCAGGAUCAAAUAACACAUGUACAUCUUGGUCAAGGAUGAAGAAAAUACCAGCUACUACAUCUGAUGUUUCAGCCUCCUCCCUCUGACGCAUGGUAUACACUCUAACUGGUGCGCCACUGGAUGCUGGCUGGUUAACAGUGCUCUGACUUCCAGGGGUGUUACCAGGACUCCUACCUCUGCCUCUUCCUCUAGCAGCUGACUGUGACCCU
rnacentral:misc_RNA from 1 species